GAUGAACGCUGGCGGCGUGCCUAAUACAUGCAAGUCGAGCGAACGGACGAGAAGCUUGCUUUUCUGAUGUUAGCGGCGGACGGGUGAGUAACACGUGGAUAACCUACCUAUAAGACUGGGAUAACUUCGGGAAACCGGAGCUAAUACCGGAUAAUAUUUUGAACCGCAUGGUUCAAAAGUGAAAGACGGUCUUGCUGUCACUUAUAGAUGGAUCCGCGCUGCAUUAGCUAGUUGGUAAGGUAACGGCUUACCAAGGCAACGAUGCAUAGCCGACCUGAGAGGGGGAUCGGCCACACUGGAACGGAGACACGGUCCAGACUCCUACGGGAGGCAGCAGUAGGGAAUCUUCCGCAAUGGGCGAAAGCCUGACGGAGCAACGCCGCGUGAGUGAUGAAGGUCUUCGGAUCGUAAAACUCUGUUAUUAGGGAAGAACAGAUGUGUAAGUAACUGUGCACAUCUUGACGGUACCUAAUCAGAAAGCCACGGCUAACUACGUG
rnacentral:rRNA from 1 species